AUCAAAGUCUCCGUUCCCACAACCUCUUCUAGGCUGAAGCCUUCAGGACUAGAAGCAAACUAGCAAGACUGGCCUAGGGAUGGAGGCUAUGAUAGUGAGAAGUAGCUUUCAGAAUCCAGUCCGUCUUUGAGAUUGUUUUGUUUUGUGGUAGAGGGGAAUCAUUUAUAGACUCUCCAAGUCAUAUCCAAACUGGGCCCGAACACAUAAGCUUGCCUGUAUCCCCUCAAAUCGGUGGGUCUUGGGCCAGGAUGGGAUCAAGUAACACACAAAAAAACCCCUAAAAAAUACAGAAAACCUAGAAAACAUGAACAUACAUGACUUCUCCAAAGUGCUUCCUUCUGAGCCCAGGGGGCAGCGUCUGCAAAUGGGGUCCCAAGUGCAAGGGGCAGGACCCCGGCAGCCGCCUUCACAAUGGCAGCUCAGUCUACCUAUCGCUUAUAAAAAGUAAUAAAUUAGUCGCAGGGAUUUGCUGCUAUUUACAAUGCCACCCUUGUCCCCCAUUCCUGCCCCUACGGCCCCCGAUCUGCACCAGAACACAAAGGAGGUGCUGUCUCCGUCUUCCAGUAAGGACCGAGAUGGCUUCUUGCCUUCCAGGUGUCAUAGUCUGGUGGCUCAGUCUCCAUCCAGAAGUCACUUCAUGGAAAAAAACAUUGCACAAAAAAUAGCCCCACUUCUAGGCCAGGGAGAGGCCAGGUGGGAGGGAUCAGUCCUUCCCGGCAGGUCCAAGGGCUCCCAGCACAGCCUCAGCGCCCUCCACAGCAAUCUGUGGUACAGAGGUGAGCGGCCCGGCGGCCUCCUCUGGAGGCUCAUCGAAGCUCACCUCCUGCACCGCCUCCUGCUUCUUGAAGGAGUCUCGGCGUUCGGACAGGUGUAGCCGCCGCAUGACCACCAGCUCCGAGUCUGGCCCACGGCCGCGGCGCCCCAGCUCCCCAUCCAGCCGUUCACCUGAACCCAGCUUGUCAGCUGACUGGCCCCGGCGCAACCGUGGAGACCGGACCUAUCACCUCAAUGCGCCAAAGAUACACACCCACAUCUGCCUCUGCUCACCUCUCUACCUCAAGCCUCAGCCAUAGAGGAUGCCUGGUCUGAGGAAAGUAAAGAUGGCAGAUACGCUCUGCCCCAUGAAGUCAGGGUGAGAGACCUGAUGCUUCAGAACCCACGCCCCCAGCAGCCAACGGAGCUGUGCCACGGGUCCUCCACCAACACUCCAGGGAGGGCCCACCCUGCCUCACCGGUCCUGGGUCUCCCGCCGGCGGCUCCGCUUGCUCCUGCGUGCCAUGCGGCCCUUGGCCACAUUCUUCCGGGCGGGGCCCACCUUGAUGGAGGUGUUCUCCAGGGCUGUGGUCCGCAGGGCGAUCUUGUUGCCACUCUAUGGGAGGGAUGGUGAGGAGUCACCUGGGGGCCUCCCAUCUAGUGAGCCACCCACCCACCUACCCACCUCCCUCCUCCUCCAUCAAAGCCCCAGAUCCUAUCCAUCCACAAAUGACCCAUCACCCACUGGGCCAAAAAUACAACAUCCACCAUCUGUCCACCCGUGCAAUGAGCUGCCCACCCACCCACCGGUCCUAGGAGAUGUCCAAAUAAGGCCCUGCCUCCUGGCCUGCAACCCCCAGGCCUCUGCCCCCCGAGGUCCCCUGGUCUGAGGAAGACGAAGAUAGUAUGAAUAUCCCCGGCCUCCUAAGGUUGGGGUGAGCCACAGGGAGGGCCAAGAGUCGGCGCACCCAGGGGGCAAAGAAGAAGGAAUAUCCUGGGCAUAGGGGAGGUGACAUGCAAGGCCUGGAGGUGGGACCAAGUGUGGAAAUGUGUGGUUCCACAGGGAGAACCACAGAAUUGGGAGCUGCCAAGGGGUCACAGGAGCAAACCAGAGGGUAGGCAGUGGGGGCAGAUCUGGGGGCCCUGAGGCGUGGGGGUUCUGGGAGCCCCAGGAAAGGCAGUGGGGAUACUGUACCUUCAGCAGCAGCUCAACGACGUCCAUGUGCACCAGCCCCAGGACCGACUCCCCGUUGAUGUGGGUGAUGAGGUCCCCGGCUCGCAGGCCCGCCUCCUGGGCAGGGCUUCCCUCCUCCACGCUCUGGCAGUGGGGAUGGGGUGGGAGGAGCUGUGAGGUCUGGGACCCCACAGCCGGAGACCCCAUGCCAUCUGGUUCAGCUGUGGGACCCCAGCAACCAGAUGCCGCCCAUGCUGUUUCCCUGACCUUGGGGGCUGUUCAGAGAGUGACUGGCAGGGAGGGAAGAGGCUCUGGGCUCAGGGGAGGCGGGACGACAUUCCCACUGUGCACCUGUGGGUAUGGGAUGGGAGCUUCAUGCCGGACUGAGGUCUCUACCCCUCUGUCCAUCCCUGUGUGUCUCACCCGACCUCCUCCCCAUAAGAAAGAGGGACUGCAAAGACUCAGGUGCCACCAGUUCCCUGCCUUGGGCUCUAGAACCUCGCAGGCAAGAAGUUUGCACUCCUAAGACUAGAAAGUAAAAGCGCCUUGCCAGGGUGAAGCUGGACUCAAGCCAGGUCCUGCUGUUCCUGCUCACCCAGACAACGUGGUGCACAGUGUAGACAUCGCUGUCACCCAUGUAGACACGGAUUGCCCGCAGGCUGAAGCCGUACUUCUUGCCUGAGCUAUGGAUGACAAUGGGGGGCCGCAGGCUGCCACACACGGGGGACGGGUCUCGGCUUGGAGAGGAGUCUCGGGAUGACGGGUUCGAGGACAGCGAGCGUGGGGACAGAGGGCUCAUGAGGGGGCCGCCGCUGCCAUCAUCUGCAGGACCAGGGUUGGGAGGGGGUCACUCCCUUGUAGGGACAAAGGUUGGGCGGGCACCUCUCCCCAACCCUCCCACUGAGCUGACCCCUCUGGCUGUGCUGCUGCUGCUCCAAUGCCCCAAGCACGGUCCCCCCACCUCUCCCUGGGUCUAGCUCCUUCUGUUGGAUGGUAGGCCCCAACCGGUGGUUAAAAUAGACAUGGACAGACAAGCAAAGACAAGGCUGGGUGACAUGUGGUACCGGCUGUGAUGAUGAGCGACAAGGCGGACACUGACGCUGACUUGGGCACGCGGCCCCCGCUGGGGGAGGUCCGAGACUUCUCAGGAGCUGGGUCUCUUGGGCCCCCAAGGCGGCGGCCCCGACCAGCAUCCAGGGCCCGUGGUGUUGAGUGUCGGGCACCAGUGCUGUUGCUUCGUAGGCGUGCGUGGCUGAGGGCGGCUGUGUCAGCUAGGGGUCAGCAGGGGUGGGGUUCAGCCUGGCCAACCUCACCACUGAGGAGGCGAAGCCCCUUCCUCCCCAGUCACUGGGCACACCGUUCAGCCUCCUGGCCUUUCUUCAGGCAGCUCCCUCUCCCCCUACUUCCUUCCUGCGCUGCUCUUCCUGGAAAGCUCCACUCUUCAAGUCCCCUCCUCUUAAGAAGCCUUCCCCCACCCAUCAGACCCCUAUGCCUCUCUUCGAAGUCCCCAGCCUCAUCUCCCUCUCCAGUCCCAUCUUGAUCCAGUGAACUGGGGUUAUCACCCCAAGCCUGGGAGUAAAGUUGAGGCCCAAGGCCUCUUGGGACCCCUGGCCUCUUUAAUCUUAAAACCUUUAUUAGACAAGUGAAUGGUCUCUCUGGAGAGCUCCCACUUCAAAACCCAUCUCAAAUAGUCCCUCCUCUGGGAAACCUUUUACUAUAGUAUCCCUCCCACUUGGACCUCACCUACCAGAAAGGCUUGAGGGCUUGGGCAUCACUGGGGUGGCUGCUGGGGGCGGAUCAGGCUCGCCCAGAAUGAAGAUGGGCCUCUUGGGGCCCGAAGAGGCUGGGCUGACUCCCUCAUCCUCUGACGAGAAGGCAAACUUGGGCAUUGUGUCCAGGCUAAUAGUAUUCAAGAGGGAUGGGCUGGGGCCCCGCUCAGGCUGGGAAGAGGACGAUUGGCAGGAAGAACCAGAUGUCCAGGAUCUCAGUCUGUGGCAGGGAAGAGCCAAAGUCGCAUGUGCCAGGUACCCUCGCCCCGGGACACCCAAUCACCCCUAGUGGCCAUGUUUUAACUCUCAGCUUAGAAACAGAGGUAAUUUGUAAAUGCGGACUGAGGUCCUUCUGUGUGCUGGGUCCUUGGUCUGCCCGGAGAAUUUCUAUCUGUCUUUUAAAAGCCAGCUUCCAACACUCAUCCUUUAGCAGACAUGGAUUAUUUUUCUGUCGAGUCUGGUCUUUGAAGAAUGAACAGGAGUUUGUCAGCAAAGGGUACUCUGGCAGAGGGAAGAGUGCGAGCAAAAGCCUAGCAGUAUGACGGUGCAUAGCCGCUCUAUGCUCCGUGUGGUUAGGGACGCAAAGCCAGGGGGCCACGUUGGCAGGGCUCUGACCCACUGGCCCAUGUGUCUGACCCUUUGCUCCUGGGGCACUGGGAAGCUUUCUCCCAUGUUAGAUCCUGUGGUUCCACCUCCCAGCAGGCUUGGAAGCUGGAUCUGCUCACAUUCCCCGGUCCACCUACCGGAUCUCCAUGCUCAUGCGGCGGCCACACUCGCCCUCGCCGCUACGCUCCCAGCCUUCCUCCCGGUCCUCACUGAAGCUCCGUUCGGCGAAGGUGGGCGUUGGCUGGGCAGCCAGGAACUCGGAGCUGCUGUAGACCUGGCAGCAAGAGAUGACAGUAAGGACAGGGAGGCAGGCAGCCACACCCCUGGGGAAGAGCCGGCUUCGCUGGGUGCUUCCCUGUGAGUCACUUCCUUCAACCCAUACUUACCACAUCCCUAAAAACAGCAGGGUCUUUGGCCCACUGUACAGAUGGGGACACUAAGGCUCAGAGAGGCCCUGCUACCAAGAGAAUAAUUAACUCGGCCAUAAAAAGGAACGAGGCUCUGGGACGCCUGGGUGGCUCAGCCAUUGAGUGUCUGCCUUUGGCUCAGGGCAUGAUGACGGGGUCUGGGAUCAAGUCUCGCAUUGGGUUCUUCCCAGGGAGCCUGCUUCUCCCUCUGCCUAUGUCUCUGCCUUUCUCUGUGUUUCUCAGGGAUGAAUAAAUAAAGUCUUCAAAAAAAAAAGGAACCAGGCUCUGACACAGGCUACACUGU